rnacentral:lncRNA from 1 species
GGUGGAUAGUGAUAAGACACGGGGGAAUGUUUUUAAACUGAGAAGGGAUGUUUAGUUUGGAUAUUAGGAGGAAGUUGGUGACACUCAGGGUGGUGACGCACUGAACAGGUUGCCCAAGGAGGCUGUGGAUGCCCCAUCCCUGGAGGCAUUCAAGGCCAGGCUGGAUGUGGCUCUGCGCAGCCUGGUCUGCUGGAUGGCGAUCCUGCACAUAGCAGGGGGCUGGAAUCAGAUGAUCAUUGUGGUCCUUUUCAACCCAGACCAUUCUAUGGUUCUGUCAUACUGAUUAACUGGGAAGAACCCGUGGUGCUGUCAGCAACCCCUGAUGGAGAUCAGGAUGAUCAGAAGAGUCUACUGAAGGAACUGAUUCAGCUGAUCCAAGGUGAUGAACCCUGCUCCUCACCUGGACCAUCAAAACUCUCAGCUAUUCAAGGCAUACACUGUUGAUUCCGUGGUAUUCACAGCACGGACUGAGCUGAUAUUUCACUGAAGGAAACGUCAACGGACCGUCCUUUUGCUGGGCACACACUCUGAGCGAUCUCAGGACAGCACGAAGAAGCCUCCAAGGACUUGCAGAUCAUCAGGAAUUGAUGGCAGAAUGGAGCACAUGGUGGUCAUUCUUAAUGUUGUCUGAGAUCCCUGAUUAAGUCUGUAGGACAGACUCCACUUUGUUGUUGUUGUUGUUUUAAAAAG